GACGAACGCUGGCGGCGUGCUUAACACAUGCAAGUCGAGCGGUAAGGCCCUUUCGGGGGUACACGAGCGGCGAACGGGUGAGUAACACGUGGGUGACCUGCCCUCAGCUCUGGGAUAAGCCUGGGAAACCGGGUCUAAUACCGGAUAUGACUCCAUGACGCAUGUUGUGGGGUGGAAAGCCUUGUGCGGCUGAGGAUGGGCCCGCGGCCUAUCAGCUUGUUGGUGGGGUGAUGGCCUACCAAGGCGACGACGGGUAGCCGGCCUGAGAGGGCGACCGGCCACACUGGGACUGAGACACGGCCCAGACUCCUACGGGAGGCAGCAGGUGGGGAAUCUUGCGCAAUGGGACGAAAGCCUGACGCAGCGACGCCGCGUGAGGGA
rnacentral:rRNA from 1 species